rnacentral:rRNA from 1 species
UGAGGAACAUGACCUUCGGCGGGGGAGUAGCCGGCCCAACGGCCGGGUAAUACCGCGUACGACCACAUGGGGACAUCCCUGGGUGGUGAAAGCAGCAAUGCGCCGAUGGAGUGCCUCGCGGCCUAUCAGCUAGUUGGUGAGGUAACGGCUCACCAAGGCGACGACGGGUAGCUGGUCUGAGAGGAUGGCCAGCCACAGUUGGGACUGAGACACCGGCCAGCUCCGAGGAG